CCUUUAUUCACAGCAGACAUGUUAACCCAUGUGAUGAUAACAGCAGAAUGCAGAUCAGAACCAUCAACGUUUGGAGCUCGCAUAACAGAUCUCUUUCCGGUUUGAAGUAACUGCAAAGCAGCCAUUUAUAUGAAGAGCACAGGUUUGAACUAUCUUGUGAUACUCACUUGGAAGAAGAUACUACACCGCAGAAGCCAAUUUAACGUAUCACCAUGAGGAACUGAC